CUUUAUUGGGGUUGCGGACAUAUCAUAACGAAGAGGUAUCGUAAUUGAAGAGGUUUGGAAAGACCCACCACAGAAGGUAAUAGUCCUGUAUGUUAAACGAGAAGACUUUAGAUAUGAUCCAGAGUACCACGGGACACGUGAAACCCUGUGGGAAGCAGGAGGGACCACCCUCCAAGGCUAAAUACUACCUAGUGACCGAUAGCGUAUAGUACCGUGAGGGAAAGGUGAAAAGAACCCCGGGAGGGGAGUGAAAUAGAACCUGAAACCCUGCACUUACAAGCUGUGGAAGCACAUUUCUUGUGUGACCGCGUACUUUUUGUAGAACGGGCCAACGAGUUACGUUAAGUAGCAAGGUUAAGCACUUAAGGUGUGGAGCCGUAGCGAAAGCGAGUUUUAACUGAGCGUUCAGUUACUUGACGUAGACCCGAAACCGGGCGACCUACCCAUGAGCAGGAUGAAGCGAAAGUAAAAUUUCGUGGAGGUCCGAACCCACGAGCGUUGAAAAGCUCGGGGAUGACUUGUGGGUAGCGGUGAAAUUCCAAUCGAGCCCGGAGAUAGCUGGUUCUCCCCGAAAUAGCUUUAGGGCUAGCCUCAAGGUGAGAGAUACGGAGGUAGAGCACUGAAUGUCCUAGGGGGUAUUGCACCUACCGAAGACUAUCAAACUCCGAAUGCCGUCAUCUUAUACUUGGGAGUCAGACUGUGGGUGAUAAGAUUCAUAGUCGAAAGGGCAACAGCCCAGAUCGUCAGCUAAGGUCCCUAAAUGUAAGUUAAGUGGUAAAGGAU
rnacentral:rRNA from 1 species